rnacentral:rRNA from 1 species
GUAGGGAAUAUUGGACAAUGGGCGAAAGCCUGAUCCAGCCAUGCCGCGUGUGUGAAGAAGGUCUUCGGAUUGUAAAGCACUUUAAGUUGGGAGGAAGGGCAGUAAGUUAAUACCUUGCUGUUUUGACGUUACCGACAGAAUAAGCACCGGCUAACUUCGUGUCAGCAGCCGCGGUAAUACGAAGGGUGCAAGCGUUAAUCGGAAUUACUGGGCGUAAAGCGCGCGUAGGUGGUUUUGUAAGUUGGAGGUGAAAUCCCCGGGCUCAACCUGGGAACUGCCUCCAAAACUACUGAGCUAGAGUACGGUAGAGGGUAGUGGAAUUUCCUGUGUAGCGGUGAAAUGCGUAGAUAUAGGAAGGAACACCAGUGGCGAAGGCGACUACCUGGACUGAUACUGACACUGAGGUGCGAAAGCGUGGGGAGCAAACAGGAUUAGAAACCCGAGUAGUCC